rnacentral:rRNA from 1 species
UUGAACGCUGGCGGCAUGCCUUACACAUGCAAGUCGAACGGCAGCGGACCUUCGGGUGCCGGCGAGUGGCGAACGGGUGAGUAAUAUAUCGGAACGUACCUUUCAGUGGGGGAUAACGUAGCGAAAGUUACGCUAAUACCGCAUAUUCUGUGAGCAGGAAAGCAGGGGAUCGCAAGACCUUGCGCUGAUUGAGCGGCCGAUAUCAGAUUAGCUAGUUGGUGAGGUAAAGGCUCACCAAGGCGACGAUCUGUAGCGGGUCUGAGAGGAUGAUCCGCCACACUGGAACUGAGACACGGUCCAGACUCCUACGGGAGGCAGCAGUGGGGAAUUUUGGACAAUGGGCGCAAGCCUGAUCCAGCCAUGCCGCGUGAGUGAAGAAGGCCUUCGGGUUGUAAAGCUCUUUCAGUCGAGAAGAAAAGGCUGCAGUGAAUAACUGUAGUUUAUGACGGUAUCGACAGAAGAAGCACCGGCUAACUACGUG